GCUAAUUUUUGUAUUUUUAGUAGAGACAGGGUUUCGCCAUAUUGACCAGACGGGUCUCAAACUCUGGUCUCAAGUGAUCUGCCCCCAUCAGCCUUCCAAAGUGCAAAAUAAGCUUUGUGACUGCGUGCAUUUUAAGCUGAGCCCUCUGACUAGCUGUUUCUGUGUCUCAGCUCUCCUCUCUUUUCUUUGCAUAAGAUUAAUGGUCAAAAAACAACAUUUUAGAUUAUUUGGAGAACAAUAAUGCUAGCAAACUUGUUAUAGUCUCCAUACAUUAUUAGGGUGUAUUUUUACUAAAAUAUUGUUGCAUUUCAGUUUAGCUAACAUUACCCUAUGAGUAGAAUUAGAUUUAGAUCCAGAGAGAGUUUUUUCUUACAAACACCUAGAAAUAGAUACUCUACAUAGACAUUUGGCAAAAGUUUUUGGCUAGAAGAAAAGACCCAAUUUCCUACAGAAACCAGAGAUUCUUGGCAUUGAUUAUAAAAACAGAUGGAAAGCAUUGAUUAUGCUAAUGAUGAUGGUUCUGGGGAUACUGAGGCUCGAACAGGGUGAAGAGGGGAGGGCUCUGUGGUAAGAUCACUUACUCCCAGUGAUCCUGACUCAUGCUCUGUCCUUACCAUGCAGGACACAAUGGCAAGACUUCCUGCCACCAGCACCUGCAUCUCCUUGUGAGAAAGCUUCUCUGGCUGUCCGAUUCCACUCUUCCAGCUGUGCAGAGGUGCCCAGAGAUCACGGCCACUGGGAUGGGCUCUCAACCAGUGGCUGAUGGGACUUGGGGCAGAAAUGCCACCAGCUAGGCCGGAUCUAUGGCUCACACCUGUAAUCCCAGCACUUUGAGAGGCCAAGGCAGAAGGAUCUCUUGAGGCUAGGAGUUCAAGACCAGCCUGGGCAACACAGUGAGACAUCUCUCUAGAAAAACAUACAAAAAUUAGCAAAGCACAGCAAUGUGCACCUGGAGCCUCAACUAUGCAGGAAGCUGAGGAAGGAAGACUGGCUGACCCCAUGAGUUUGAGGUUGUAGUGAGUUAUGAUCACAGCACUGCAUUUGAGCCUAGAUGACAGUGAGACCUCAUCUCUAAAAAAAAGAAAAAUAUACAAAUAAAUAAAUAACUAUCCCAGUUCCUUUUUCCCUUAGUGUGAAAACUCUGGAGUACAUGUUUUUUACAGACUCUCAGAGUUCCCUGGAAGAAUGAAGUUUUGGUUACCUGCAGGGUUACCUACGCUGCCUACUACGGAGAACUUUUUUAACUAACUUUUCUACCCUCUCUCACUUCCCUGUUUGCUUUCCAAGUAUCUCCUGGAUCACUUCUCAAGUAAACUGCUUGCACCCAAAUUCUCUUCUCAAGAAUCUGCUUCUAGGAAACCUAAACCAAGAUGCUAUUCCCCUCGCAGAAAACAUUCCCACCCAUGAAAAGCCCAACUGCUUAGCACAACAAUCCCUCCUUAUUUCCUCCUAAAAGUCAACUAAGCAGCCGGGUAUGGUGGCUCAUGCCUGUAAUCCCAGCACUUUGGGAGGCCAAGGCAGGUGGAUCACCUGAGGUUGAGAGUUCAAGUCCAGACUGAUCAAAUUGGAGAAACCCUGGCUCUAGUAAAAAUACAAAGUAAGCUGGGUGUGGUGGCACAUGCCUGUAAUCUCAGCUACUCAGUAGGCUGAGGCAGAAGAAUCACUUGAACCCAGGCGGCAGAGGUUGUGGUGAACUGAGAUUGCGCCUCUGCACUCCAGCCUAGGCAACAAGAGUGAAACUCUAUCUCCGAAAAAAAAAAGUCAACCAAGGAUAUGACUAUCUCACUAUGAUGUUAGGUCAUGUUUAGGUGGUGACCAAGUGGCUGGCAUCCUGUUCUAUGCUUUGUAAGUCACCUCUCCUAGCUAGCCACUCACAUUCUUUCAUUCUCUCCUUAUGGAGAAGGAGAGAAAGGGCUCUGAAGUAAGGAGACCACUUGUAGCAAAAUCCUAUUUAAUAUGAAAUUAAGUUACUAGCGAACUUUCAGGUAGUCUGACACACAAAGAUAGUAAUUACCUUCUGAAAUGUAAUUUUCAAAAAUGAUUAAGAUGGAAACCUCAAAAUUUAAAAGAGUUUUGUGUGAUUGUUCUUGUGGUGUGAAAUCCUUAUCUUCUGCUCAGGCUCAUCUCUGCCCUAUUCUUUUGGAAGCCCGAAGUCCACAAAUGUGCUAUUGUUUUCACAUAGAUACGCUGGUCUUUGCAGCAGCGUAGUCAAAAAA